AAGAGAUCUGACUUGUGCAUCCUGGGAUCCUGUGGUCAUCGAUCUAACUCAGGAUGAUUCUGUUGUGAGAGACAAGAAGAUGUCCCAGACUGACGGACCAGAGAUGGUGGGACUUCUGUGACCUACGGCAUAAGGAACGUGAAAAAAGAGAGGAUGAUAUGCCGUCUGGUCCCAUUAAAUGUCCAAUUUGC